GAAUCGCUAGUAAUCGUGGAUCAGAAUGUCACGGGUGAAUACGUUCCCGGGCCUUGUACACACCGCCCGUCACACCAUGGGAGUGGACUGCACCAGAAGUGGUUAGCUUAACCUUCGGGAAAGCGAUCACCACGGGGUUGGUUCAUGACUGGGGUGAAGUCGUAACAAGGUAGCCGUAGGGGAACCUGCGGMUGGAUCACCUCCUU
rnacentral:rRNA from 1 species